rnacentral:piRNA from 1 species
UAAUAGCUUAUUAUAAUGACUGUGGACCUGA